rnacentral:tRNA from 1 species
GGGGAUUUAGCUCAGUGGUAGAGCACUUGCCUAGCAAGCACAAGGCCCUGGGUUCGGUCCCCAGCUCCCCCC